GAUAAAAGUCAGAAUGUGGUAUUAAUGAAUAACAAUUUCACGUUACAGAUACACACAUGAAUGUAGGAAGAGCGUGAAAUCUGGAUUUGGCUGUCUUUCAGGCAAUCCGCCAGCGAUAUCCAGUCUUACUACCAUGGCGUAUGCUCCAGUGUCCACAGUCACCUGGCACAGCUUAUCGCCGACCCAUCCCUGGGUGACCAGACUGGUGUGGGCCUUUUCCGUCAUGUUGAUACUGGUGGAACGAUAUAAUAUCAGAGCAAACGUCUUCAGUAUUUGCGGCAAAUAAAAGAAUAUAGGGAAGAGGGUCGCCCAAUCAUCUACAUGGAUGAAACCUGUAUUCAUUCAUCGCACACCACCCCAUAUGCAUGAAGUGAUGGAUCCAUCCAGGGAUUAUUUUCCCCUGUGACCAAAGGCCAGCGGCUCAUUGUUAUUCAUGCAGUGGGAGAGCAAGGUUUCAUCCCUAAUGCCUAUGUCUGCUUUAAAUCCCACCAAAAAACAGAAGACUACCACAGUGAACCAAUUAUGAAAAAUCGUUAAAGGAGCGACUUAUUCCUAACCUUCCCCCAAAUUCUGUCCUUGUCAUUGACAAUGCUCCCUACCAUAAUGUACAACUAAACAGAACCCCUAACCCAAAUUCAAGAAGACAUUUUAUGAUAUCCUGGCUAAAAUAUCGCCUUCCACCUACCACCUUCAGUAACACUGAUUUUUCAUCAUUGCAGAAUCCAGACAUAUAUAAUGUGAUCCUACCACUCAAACUGAAAUACCUUU